CGGACCAGGGAGGCGGUUGGCCCGGGCGGGGCCUGCACUGCUCGGGCCGCCCCCGCGACUCCAGCCCCCGGCGGGAGGAGCCUCAGGCCGGCGGCCGAAUUGUGGGGGUGGUCUUGAACUCAAGCAGUCCACCCACCUUGGCCUCCCAGAGUGCUAGGAUUACAAGUGUGAGCCACCGUAUCUGGCACUAUCCUUUCUCUUUCCUCCUCCAGAACAAGACAGAAUUCAGCACCUAACCAGUGAGAAAGCCCUAGCUGCCUGAAUAAGAAAGCAAACCUGGGUUUUCCACAAGUUUGUGAGGGGCAGGCUAAGAUCAUUCAGUGUAAUGGUUAACUACAGAAGCUGGAUGGAUUAUCAUACACAUCCCUCAGUCUCUUAAGAGCCCUGGAAAGGCAAGAAACUAAUCCAAAAAAGAACUGAAACAAACUGGGCUGCUCUCUGGGAAGUCCAGAACUUGUGAGAAAUCCAGGACUGGCUGCUGC